rnacentral:lncRNA from 1 species
AUGCUCCGUUAUAGAGACAGACCACGUCCCCCUUGGCCACCCCAGCGGGGUGGAUGCCCCCUUACUUGUAAAGGACACCAGGAUGGCCACGCUCACCCAGGGAGGCAGCGGGACUGCUGCCAGGCAGCCCAAACUUGGAGGGACCCUGGGAUCCUUAACUUUUGUGAGCCUCAGUCCCCUCUUUAUCAGCCAGCCCCCUCCCAGGGCUGUGCCCGAGGACAUGAAAUGAAUGGCGCGCCCGCUGUGCCUGGAGCAGGACAUCACGCUUCCUGGAGCCACACACCCAUGAAGACUGAUGGCCAAGGAGGAAGAAAGAGGUCCCACGGGCUGGCGUCUGCUUCACGCCGGUGGGAGCUGCCCUCCUUUUCUCUCCCACAAAGACCCUGGGGGCCCAUCCCAGGGAGGAGCUGUGGGGAGGGAGGGGAGAGGGAGGCGGGACAGAGCUCCGAGCGGGAGAUGCCAACCUCUGUCCUAUCCCGGGAAAGAAAGAUGUCAAUGUGUGCGUGGAUUAGGGACUCACCUGGCCCUGACCUUCCUGAAUCAGGAGGUGAGAGCUCCCAGGUGUCAGUGUGCUGUGGCCAGGCUGGAGGGAUGGGGUUGGAUCCAGCCCCCUGCCAAGCGGGGGUCUCACGUUGGGAGUGAUGAGCGGCACAUGCUCUCACGAUGAGGCUCUCUGGGUAGAGCAGGGCAGCCUCCGAAGUUGGUCCAAAAUGGCUGGGAGAGGAGACUGGCCUGGUCUUGCUGCAGUUGGGGGCGGGGCCGAGUGAGGGGUCCUGCUCUCAGAAAGAAGUGUCCAGCAGCUCUGAAGGAUGGAGCACCCACCGUCUAUCAGCCUGCCUGGAUGCGGGGCCUAAGCCUGGAGGAGGUGGGUGGAGGCUUAAAAGCUGCCAGCACCCCAACAUCCAAGAUGGAGUCAGACUCUACUACACACUGACAUGACCGCUUCCUGUAUCGCAACUCAGUGACACGUGCAAUCUGCACGUGGUACAAGCGUGAGCAUCCAUGCACAUCACAGGAGCGUGAUGACCCUGUGAGUCUCUAGCACGUUAGUGUCUAUGGGGGUGCAUUCAACCCACCUCUCCCCAGGACAUCUUCACGGCAGCUCCACUGUCAAAACACACUCAAGGGGCUUCCCUGGUGGCGCAGUGGUUGAGAGUCCGCCUGCUGAUGCAGAGGACACGGGUUCGAGCCCUGGUCUGGGAGGAUCCCACAUGCCGCAGAGCAACUACGCCCAUGCACCACAACUACUGAGCCUGCGCUCUAGAGUCCGUGAGCCACAGCUGCUGAGCCUGCGUAUCUGGAGCUUGCGCUCCGCAAUGGGAGAGGCCGCGACAGUGAGAGGCCCGCGCACCGCGAUGAAGAGUGGCCCCCGCUCGCCGCAACUGGAGAAGGCGCACACACAGAGACGAAGACCCAACAUAGCCAAAAAUAAAUAAAAUUUAAAAAAAAAACACACUCAAGAUUUAAAAUUAUGACUAGCUCAGCCUGUACCACACACCCAUGUACCACCACCCAGACUGAACAAAUGUUUAUCUUUUUCAUAUUUGCUCUGGAGAGUUUUUUAAGCAGUUCAAGUUAGAGUGGAAGCUCUACCU